rnacentral:rRNA from 1 species
GAUGAACGCUAGCGGCAGGCCUAACACAUGCAAGUCGAGGGGGAAGUUACUUUCGGGUGACUGAGACCGGCGUACGGGUGCGUAACGCGUAUACAAUCUGCCUUUCACUGGGGGAUAGCCCGAAGAAAUUUGGAUUAAUACCCCAUAGUAUAUAGGGACGGCAUCGUUUUUAUAUUAAAGCUUAGGUGGUGAAAGAUGAGUAUGCGUUCUAUUAGCUAGUUGGAGAGGUAACGGCUCCCCAAGGCGAUGAUAGAUAGGGGUUCUGAGAGGGAUGUCCCCCACACUGGUACUGAGAUACGGACCAGACUCCUACGGGAGGCAGCAGUGAGGAAUAGUGGACAAUGGUCGGAAGACUGAUCCAGCCAUGCCGCGUGCAGGAUGAAGGUCUUAUGGAUUGUAAACUGCUUUUGUAAGGGAAGAAUAAGGGCUACGCGUAGUUUGAUGACGGUACCUUACGAAUAAGCAUCGGCUAACUCCGUG